ACUUUACAAUGCGAGAAAUCGUGAUAAGGGAACCCCGAGUGCCCGUAAAUUCGGGCUGUCCAUCAGUGUAAAUAACUGGUGAAGAAAGGGCCGGGCAAGACCGAUGCCAGCCGCCGCGGUAAUACCGGCGGCUCGAGUGGUGGCCACUAUUACUGGGCUUAAAGCGUCCGUAGCUGGAUUGUUAAGUCUCUUGGGAAAUCCGCCGGCUUAACCGGCGGGCGUUCAGGAGAAACUGGCAAUCUAGGGACCGGGAGAGGUGAGAGGUACUCCAGGGGUAGGAGUGAAAUCCUGUAAUCCUUGGGGGACCACCUGUGGCGAAGGCGUCUCACUAGAACGGCUCCGACAGUGAGGGACGAAAGCUGGGGGAGCAAACCGG
rnacentral:rRNA from 1 species